rnacentral:rRNA from 1 species
GACGAACGCUGGCGGCGUGCUUAACACAUGCAAGUCGAACGGAAAGGCCCUGCUCUUGUGGGGUGCUCGAGUGGCGAACGGGUGAGUAACACGUGAGUAACCUGCCCUUGACUUUGGGAUAACUUCAGGAAACUGGGGCUAAUACCGGAUAGGAGCUCCUGCUGCAUGGUGGGGGUUGGAAAGUUUCGGCGGUUGGGGAUGGACUCGCGGCUUAUCAGCUUGUUGGUGGGGUAGUGGCUUACCAAGGCUUUGACGGGUAGCCGGCCUGAGAGGGUGACCGGCCACAUUGGGACUGAGAUACGGCCCAGACUCCUACGGGAGGCAGCAGUGGGGAAUAUUGCACAAUGGGCGGAAGCCUGAUGCAGCAACGCCGCGUGCGGGAUGACGGCCUUCGGGUUGUAAACCGCUUUCGCCUGUGACGAGGCGUGAGUGACGGUAAUGGGUAAAGAAGCACCGGCUAACUACGUG